rnacentral:rRNA from 1 species
UACGUAGGGUGCAAGCGUUGUCCGGAAUUAUUGGGCGUAAAGAGCUCGUUAGGCGGUUUUGUCGCGUCUGCUGUGAAAACCCGAGGCUCAACCUCGGGCCUGCAGUCGAUACGAGCAAACUAGAGUGUUGCAGGGGAGACUGGAAUUCCUGGUGUAGCGGUGAAAUGCGCAGAUAUCAGGAGGAACACCGGGUGGCGAAGGCGGGUCUCUGGGCAACAACUGACGCUGGAGGAGCGAAAAGCGUGGGGGAGCAACGGG